UAGUGUACAUACAAAAUAUUAUAUAAACAAAUUCACAAAUUAUAUAAUUUUAAACAAGUGUCCUUCGAUAUAAUGACUUUGUAACAAAAUAAUGUACGCCAAUUCAAAAAUACUGAUUCACAAAUUUUGUUUAUAAUCCAAAGAAGAAUCCGCACUCUUUUAAAAAAGAAAACAAAAUAUUGUCAAAUUAUAUUAUGUUUUUAAAAUUAAAUGGUAAAAGAAAUAAAUAAAAAAUAGUAGUAAUUACCAAAAAAAAUAUUUUAACGUCGUCAGCAAAACACUAAACCCUAAAUCCUAAUCCCUAAACUCGAAACCCUUGGGUAAACCCUAAGUCCUUGGAUAAAUACUAAACUCUAAUUCAAAAACACUAAAACACUCAAGGGUUUAGGAUUUAGGGUUUAGGGUUUUAGUGUUUAGUAUUUUUUAUUUAGAGUUUAUGAUUUAUCCAAUGGUUUAGGGUUUACUCAAGGAUUUAAAGUUUAGGAUUUAGAAUUUGAGAUUUAGGUAUUAGAAUUUAAGGUUUAGUGUUUUGCUGAUGACGUUUUUUUCUGUAACUACUAUUUUUUUUUAUCUUUUUAUUUUAAAAACAUAAUAUAAUUUGACAAUAUUU
rnacentral:lncRNA from 1 species